AGUUAUUGGGAUAUAAACCUAAUAGCAUAAUUAACUUGACUAAUAAUGGGAUUAGUUUUUUAACUAUUUAUAGAUAAUUAACACAAUCCCGGGGCGUUCUAUAUAGUUAUGUAUAAUGAUAUUUAUAUUAUUUAUACCUCUAACUGGAACGUACCUUGAGCAUAUAUGCUGUGACCCGAAAGAUGGUGAACUAUACUUGAUCAGGUUGAAGUCAGGGGAAACCCUGAUGGAAGACCGAAACAGUUCUGACGUGCAAAUCGAUUGUCAGAAUUGAGUAUAGGGGCGAAAGACCAAUCGAACCAUCUAGUAGCUGGUUCCUUCCGAAGUUUCCCUCAGGAUAGCUGGUGCAUUUAAAUGUUAUAUAAAAUAAUCUUAUCUGGUAAAGCGAAUGAUUAGAGGCCUUAGGGUCGAAACGAUCUUAACCUAUUCUCAAACUUUAAAUGGGUAAGAACCUUAACUUUCUUGAUAUGAAGUUUAAGGUUAUGAUAUAUUGUGCCCAGUGGGCCACUUUUGGUAAGCAGAACUGGCGCUGUGGGAUGAACCAAACGUAAUGUUACGGUGCCCAAAUUAACAACUCAUACAGAAACCAUGAAAGGCGUUGGUUGCUUAAAACAGCAGGACGGUGAUCAUGGAAGUCGAAAUCCGCUAAGGAGUGUGUAACAACUCACCUGCCGAAGCAACUAGCCCUUAAAAUGGAUGGCGCUUAAGUUGUAUACCUAUACAUUACCGCUAAAGUAGAUGAUUUAUAUUAUUUAUAAUAUAAAUUUUGAAACUUUAGUGAGUAGGAAGGUACAAUGGUGUGCUUAGAAGUGUUUGGCGUAAGCCUGCAUGGAGCCGCCAUUGGUACAGAUCUUGGUGGUAGUAGCAAAUAAUCGAAUGAGACCUUGGAGGACUGAAGUGGAGAAGGGUUUCGUGUGAACAGUGGUUGAUCACGAGUUAGUCGGUCCUAAGUUCAAGGCGAAAGCCGAAAAUUUUCAAGUUUUAAAAAUGUCAAAUGAAAUAAUAAAUAAUAAAACACUUGAAUAAUUUUGAACGAAAGGGAAUACGGUUCCAAUUCCGUAACCUGUUGAGUAUCCGUUUGUUAUUAAAUAUGGGCCUCGUGCUCAUCCUGGCAACAGGAACGACCAUAAAGAAGCCGUCGAGAGGUAUCGGAAGAGUUUUCUUUUCUGUUUUAUAGCCGUACUACCAUGGAAGUCUUUCGCAGAGAGAUAUGGUAGAUGGGCUAGAAGAGCAUGACAUAUACUGUUGUGUCGAUAUUUUCUCCUCGGACCUUGAAAAUUUAUGGUGGGGAUACGCAAACUUCUCAACAGGCCGUACCAAUAUCCGCAGCUGGUCUCCAAGGUGAAGAGUCUCUAGUCGAUAGAAUAAUGUAGGUAAGGGAAGUCGGCAAAUUAGAUCCGUAACUUCGGGAUAAGGAUUGGCUCUGAAGAUUGAGAUAGUCGGGCUUGAUUGGGAAACAAUAACAUGGUUUAUGUGCUCGUUCUGGGUAAAUAGAGUUUCUAUCAUUUAUGAUAGUUAUUUGUUCCCCGGAUAGUUAGUUACGUAGCCAAUUGUGGAACUUUCUUGCUAAAAUUUUUAAGAAUACUAAUUUUUAAUUAGUUCUUUUAAAUUAUAACGAUUAUCAAUUAACAAUCAAUUCAGAACUGGCACGGACUUGGGGAAUCCGACUGUCUAAUUAAAACAAAGCAUUGUGAUGGCCCUAGCGGGUGUUGACACAAUGUGAUUUCUGCCCAGUGCUCUGAAUGUCAAAGUGAAGAAAUUCAAGUAAGCGCGGGUCAACGGCGGGAGUAACUAUGACUCUCUUAAGGUAGCCAAAUGCCUCGUCAUCUAAUUAGUGACGCGCAUGAAUGGAUUAACGAGAUUCCUACUGUCCCUAUCUACUAUCUAGCGAAACCACAGCCAAGGGAACGGGCUUGGAAUAAUUAGCGGGGAAAGAAGACCCUUUUGA
rnacentral:rRNA from 1 species